rnacentral:rRNA from 1 species
UACAGAGGUCCCGAGCGUUGUUCGGAUUCAUUGGGCGUAAAGGGUGCGUAGGUGGCGCUGUAAGUGGGGUGUGAAAUCCCAGGGCUUAACCCCGGAACUGCACUUGAUACUGCCUUGCUUGAGUGCUGGAGAGGAGACUGGAAUUUACGGUGUAGCAGUGAAAUGCGUAGAUAUCGUAAGGAAGACCAGUGGCGAAGGCGAGUCUCUGGACAGCUACUGACGCUGAGGCACGAAGGCCAGGGGAGCAACCGGG